rnacentral:rRNA from 1 species
GACGAACGCUGGCGGCGUGCCUAAUACAUGCAAGUUGAGCGCUGAAGGUUGGUACUUGUACCAACUGGAUGAGCAGCGAACGGGUGAGUAACGCGUGGGGAAUCUGCCUUUGAGCGGGGGACAACAUUUGGAAACGAAUGCUAAUACCGCAUAAAAACUUUAAACACAAGUUUUAAGUUUGAAAGAUGCAAUUGCAUCACUCAAAGAUGAUCCCGCGUUGUAUUAGCUAGUUGGUGAGGUAAAGGCUCACCAAGGCGAUGAUACAUAGCCGACCUGAGAGGGUGAUCGGCCACAUUGGGACUGAGACACGGCCCAAACGCCUACGGGAGGCAGCAGUAGGGAAUCUUCGGCAAUGGACGAAAGUCUGACCGAGCAACGCCGCGUGAGUGAAGAAGGGUUUCGGAUCGUAAAACUCUGUUGGUAGAGAAGAACGUUGGUGAGAGUGGAAAGCUCAUCAAGUGACGGUAACUACACAGAAAGGGACGGCUAACUACGUG